rnacentral:sRNA from 1 species
GUUGGGCAUGGUGGCGCUUACCUGUAAUCCCAGUGGCUCAGGAGGCUGAGGCAGGAGGAUCCUGAGUUCAAAGCCAGCCUCAGCAACUCAGCGAGGGCCUAAGCAACUUAGCGAGACUCUGUCUCUA